GGGGUUGAAGCUUGCUUCAUCGCCGGCGACCGGCGCACGGGUGAGUAACGCGUAUCCCAUCUUCCGUACACUCAGGGAUAGCCUUUCGAAAGAAAGAUCCUACCUGAUGGUAUGAUGAGAUUGCAUGAUAGCAUCAUUAAAGAUUUAUCGGUGUACGAUGGGGAUGCGUUCCAUUAGGUAGUAGGCGGGGUAACGGCCCACCUAGCCUACGAUGGAUAGGGGUUCUGAGAGGAAGGUCCCCCACAUUGGAACUGAGACACGGUCCAAACUCCUACGGGAGGCAGCAGUGAGGAAUAUUGGUCAAUGGACGAGAGUCUGAACCAGCCAAGUAGCGUGAAGGAUGAAGGUCCUACGGAUUGUAAACUUCUUUUAUAAGGGAAUAAAACCUCCCACGUGUGGGAGCUUGUAUGUACCUUAUGAAUAAGCAUCGGCUAACUCCGUGCCAGCAGCCGCGGUAAUACGGAGGAUGCGAGCGUUAUCCGGAUUUAUUGGGUUUAAAGGGAGCGCAGACGGGUCGUUAAGUCAGCUGUGAAAGUUUGGGGCUCAACCUUAAAAUUGCAGUUGGUACUGGCGUCCUUGAGUGCGGUUGAGGUGUGCGGAAUUCGUGGUGUAGCGGUGAAAUGCUUAGAUAUCACGAAGAACUCCGAUUG
rnacentral:rRNA from 1 species